rnacentral:rRNA from 1 species
GUGAUCGUACUGCGUUGGAAACACCGGUUUCUGUCUGAUCACCAAAGUUGAGCAACGUCGGAUCUGGCUAGUACUUGCAUAGGUGACUGGCUGGGAUUACCAGGUGUUGCGGUC